rnacentral:rRNA from 1 species
AUGGCAGCGUGGAGGAUUUCAAAGAGUUUGUUGAUGUCAUCAUGUCUGGCGGUGGGUUGUGGGAGGAGGGGGGUCUUGAGACAUUGGGUUAAAAAUUUGUUGUUUUUUCCUCCCGUUGCAACGCACGGGCAUUUGUGCUACUAUAAUAAUAAAGAAAGUUGGGUUUCUGGUAGGCCAUCGUUGCUAGCGAUUUUGCAAAAAAGUCCCUCGGUUUAUAAGAAAUUAACCCGCAGUCCCUGUUUUAGUGGGUCUAUAUAUAACGUUUCAAUUUUGCAAAAAAGCCCCUGUACUCAUUUGAAUUUCACCCGCUGUCCUCCCGUCGUCUUAUCCAUUUCUCCCGCGACAACGACGGCGGCUUCGCCCAUUCCGUCGUGGGCCGGCGACGGCCGCCGCCGUGCCUCGCGCGGGAGGAUGGAGGGCACUCGCCAGGAGGUUGGAGGACGUUCGCCGGGGCGAGUGCUGCGGAGGCGACGCGGCGAGGCGGGGCGGUGGCGGUUGUUGACCGGCCGUCGUGCGUCGCGGGGGAGGAUGGAGGACGCUCGCCGUGGCGUGCGCGGCGGGAGGCGUCUGCUGCCGCGCUUCGAGGUGGAGCAGUGGCGUUGGUCGAGGAGGCAGAGGCAGCCAAGUCAAUGA